GUGCUCGCUUCAGGAGCACAUACACUGAAACUGGGACUGUACAGAGAAGAUCGGCACGGCCCCUGUGCACGGAUGACGCCCGAGUUUGUGAAGUGUUCCAUAUUGCU